rnacentral:rRNA from 1 species
CUUGAACUUAACUUACCCUUCUUACCGAAUCUCAAAACCUUCUUCUAUGAGGAAACUUUUAAGAACACCAUAUCAUCAACUUGAAACUUUAUAUCUCGACGUUUCAAAUCCACAUAAGAUUUCUAACCUGUUGCUGCUUUCAACCUUUCACAUAUUAACUUUACUUUCUUUUCGGUCUCAUGAACUAGAUCUGGUCCAACAACACACUUUUCAUCCAACUCUAUCUAAAACAAAGGAGUCCUACACUUUCUACCACACAACGCCUCAAAUGAUGUCAUGCGAAUACUCGCUUGGAAACUAUUAUUGUAAGCAAACUUUGCUAAGAGCAUAUAUCAUUCCCAACUACCACUGAACUCAAUCACACAGCUUCGUAACAUAUCUUCUAACACUUGAAUUACCCUCUCCGAUUGAUCAUUAGUUUGGGGAUGAUAAGCCGUAUUGAAAGUAAACUUCAAUCCCAAAGCCUCUUGCAAAAUCUUUCAAAACCUUAAAGUAAACCUCGGAUCCCUAUCAGAAAUAAUCAAAACUGGAACCCCAUGAAGACGAACAACCUUAGCAAUAUACAACUUCGCCAACUUCUGCAACGAAUAAUCGGUACGCAUUGCUAGGAAAAGCGCACUUUUCGAAAAUCAAUCAAUUAUAACCCAAACCAAAUUCUUCUUCGACAAUUAAUAUACUAUUAAUUUACUUAUUAAAAAACUUAUUUAAAAACUUUUAUUUUUUAAAUUUUAUUUACACAUAUAAAUUAAUCAUUUUAUAUCAUCGAGAAUUUGAUCAUUUUACUUUUAAUUUUAGGGAUUUAGUCCCUACAUUUUUUUGGUUUAAAGAUUUAGAUCCAAUUAAUAACUCUAUUAAAUUAUUUUGUUAACUAUGCUGAUGUAAUAUUUAGAAUAAAAUAACUAAUAGCACUGAGACACUUUUUUUGUUUUUUUACUUUUAGAUUCCAAAAGAAUAUUAAACCAUCUUUCAUUCUAUAAAUACAUACUAUGAUGAAUCACACUAUGAAUCUAUACAUUUUAGGAUUACAUUAUUGAAAUUUAAAAAGAUUUAUUUAUACAAUUUAUCUUUAUGCAUAAAAAAAUUGUGAAUUUCUAAAUACUCAAUUAUAGAUAGAAACAACCUAUUUAGAUAAUCUAAACUAUUAUAAUUGAAAUGUAUUUAAAAAGAAAGAAAUAAUUCAAAGGAUUUAUCUCUUAUAUUUUUUAUUUAAAUAUUCAAACAAUGACUAUUUAUUAUUAAAUAAUAUUAAUAUAACAUGUUCUAAAUUAGUUAAUUUUUUUAAAAAAUAUUUUGCAAUUAUAUUUUUUUUCGCUCCAUUCAUUAUUUUUUUCAGAAACUCAUUGAUGAUUUUAAAUAAAAAUUAAUGUUAUAAAAAUAUUACGAAAUUAAACUAUACAAUUAACCCAGACAUCACACGAGAAUACAACCUAAUUUAUAUUUAUAUGAAAAUAAAUUAAUCUUUUUACAUCUAUCAAACCUUAAAAAUCUCUCAAUCUUUUGUCUUUCAACAUUUAUCAUUUUUCUUAUUUUCUCUAACACACUCUAAAAUUGUACACAUAUUGAUCUAAUUUUCAAUAACUUCAAGUGGAUUUCUCUAAUUUGGUAACAACUCUUCUUUUCUUUUCAAAAUUUAUUGAUUAAUCGCUAAAAAAUAGGACAAUAGCUUUUCUUGUGAUAGAUUAAUAUUUUUAUGCAAUAAUCAAUUUUUAUUGAUUAAAUGAUUUUGAGAUAUUAAUUUUGUAUGAGGAAAUAUUUUUAGAAGUUGAUUAAUACUAAUCAUUGAAAAAAAUUAAGAUUGCCCAAAAUCGACACAGGUGGGUAGGUAAAGAAUACCAAGGGCGCGAGACAACUCUCUCUAAAGAACUCAGUAAAAUAACCCCAUAACUUCGGAAGAAGGGGUGCCUCCUCACAAAGGGGGUCGCAGUGACCAGGCAUGGGCGACUGUUUACCGAAAACACAGGUCUCUACAAAGUCGUAAGACCAUGUAUAAGGGCUGACGCCUGUCCAUUGUCGGAAGGUCAAGGAAAUUGUGACUUAAUGAUAGGAGAGCCGGUGACCGAAGCCCCGAGGAACGGCGGUCAUAACUAUAAUGGUUCUAAGAUAGUGAAAUUCCUUGUCGGGUAAGUUCUGGCCCGCACGAAAGGCAUAACGAUCUGGCCUGUCUCGGAAAGAGGCUCAGUGAAAUAUACAUGUUUCUGAAGAUGCAGACCACCCGCACCUGGACAGAAAGACACUAUGAAGUUCCCUAGGAUUGGCUUUGGGCUUUUCCUGCGUAGCUUAGGUGGAAGGCGAAGAAGGCCUCCUUCCAGGGGCCCGAGCCAUUAGUGAGAUACCACUCUAGAAGAGCUAGAAUUCAAACCUUCUGUUAGGACCUAUGGGUCAAGAGACAGUCUCAAGUAGACAGUUUCUAUGGGACGUAGGCCCCCAAAAGGUAACAGAGGCGUGCAAAGGUUUCCUCGGGCCAGACAAAGAUUGGCCCUCGAGUGCAAAGGCAGAAGGGAGCUUGACUGCAAGCCCCACCCAUCGAGCAGGGACGAAAGUCAACCUUAGUGAUCUGACGGUCCCGAGUGGAAGGGCUGUCGCUCAACGGAUAAAAGUUACUCUAGGGAUAACAGGGUGAUCUUCCCCAAAAGCUCACAUUGACAGGAAGGUUUAGCACCUCGACGUCGGCUCUUCGCCGCCUAAGUUGUGGUAUGUUCCAAGGGUUGGUUUGUUCGCCCAUUAAAGCAGUAUGUGAGCUGGGUUUAGAACAUCGUGAGACAGUUCGAUCCAUAUCCGGUGUGGGUGUUAGAGCAUUGAGAGGACCUUUCCCUAGUACGAGAGGAAUAUAAUCUUAAAUUUGCAUUCCAUGACACAAAAAAAAAACUAAUUUUUGUGUAAAUUGUCAUAACAAUUCUAUUUACUCAAUUAUUAUUUGGUAAAUGAAAAAAAUUAAAAUAUUCACUUUUUAUAGGAUUUUAUAAAUAUUAAAUUUAUAUUCUAAAAUUGUUUGGUAUAUUAGUAAAAAUUAAAUAUUGUAUAUCAUUGUAUUAUUUAAUUAUAGUAAAUAUUAAUUUUUGAAAAUUAUUUAUUUAAUAUUUUUAACAACAUUUACAAAAGAAAAUAAUUAAACG